UACUCACAAUUUAGCGGUCAAAGGAGAAUAUGUUUCUACUGUAAACUACACCCACCGCUGACUACUACCCCUUAUGUGGCCGGCUACUUAAUUGACUUUAACAAAAUUUCCCCCUUACACUUUUAGUUGGCAAAUGUUUCCUUACACUGGCUACUUCAGAAUUACAGAUACACACUACACCCUGUGAGACUUCAAUGGGUAGGUAGAAGUUGUCCUGCACCCUGUGAGACUUCAAUGGGUAGGUAGAAGUUGUCCUGCACCCUGUGAGACUUCAAUGGGUAGGUAGAAGUUGUCCUGCACCCUGUGAGACUUCAUUGAGUAGGUAGAAGUUGUCCUGCACCCUGUGAGACUUCAUUGAGUAGGUAGAAGUUGUCCUGCACCCUGUGAGACUUCACUGAGUAGGUAGAAGUUGUCCUGCACCCUGUGAGACUUCAUUGAGUAGGUAGAAGUUGUCCUGCACCCUGUGAGACUUCAUUGAGUAGGUAGAAGUUGUCCUGCACCCUGUGAGACUUCAUUGAGUAGGUAGAAGUUGUCCUGCACCAUGUGAGACUUCAUUGAGUAGGUAGAAGUUGUCCUGCACCCUGUGAGACUUCAUUGAGUAGGUAGAAGUUGUCCUGCACCCUGUGAGACUUCAUUGAGUAGGUAGAAGUUGUCCUGCACCCUGUGAGACUUCAUUGAGUAGGUAGAAGUUGUCCUGCACCCUGUGAGACUUCAUUGAGUAGGUAGAAGUUGUCCUGCACCCUGUGAGACUUCAUUGAGUAGGUAGAAGUUGUCCUGCACCCUGUGAGACUUCAUUGAGUAGGUAGAAGUUGUCCUGCACCCUGUGAGACUUCAUUGAGUAGGUAGAAGUUGUCCUGCACCCUGUGAGACUUCAUUGAGUAGGUAGAAGUUGUCCUGCACCCUGUGAGACUUCAUUGAGUAGGUAGAAGUUGUCCUGCACCCUGUGAGACUUCAUUGAGUAGGUAGAAGUUGUCCUGCACCAUGUGAGACUUCACUGAGUAGGUAGAAGUUGUCCUGCACCAUGUGAGACUUCACUGAGUAGGUAGAAGUUGUCCUGCACCCUGUGAGACUUCAUUGAGUAGGUAGAAGUUGUCCUGCACCCUGUGAGACUUCAUUGAGUAGGUAGAAGUUGUCCUGCACCCUGUGAGACUUCAUUGAGUAGGUAGAAGUUGUCCUGCACCAUGUGAGACUUCAUUGAGUAGGUAGAAGUUGUCCUGCACCCUGUGAGACUUCAUUGAGUAGGUAGAAGUUGUCCCUAACCACUGAUUCAGCUCGUUCAGCAGGUUUUCUUAAUUUAUUCAGUAAAUUCUUGGGUCCAUGAAAAUGAUUGCAACUUUCUAGUUCUUUCAUCCUCCCAUCUAUACCCCUUAAGCUCAUAACCUUUGACAUUUAUUCCACACAUCCUACUGACACACAUUAUAAAUGUCAUCCUCCGUUCAUAGGACUGCCAUCAAUAAGGUUUCACAUUUGAUUUCUCUCAGCUUAAUAAGGUGUUACAUUAUUUCAUGAUCUCAGGCCAAUGUCUGCUCUGUUUCAGGAAGUAUCCAGAAGGGUCGCUUCCUCUUUUCUUUGUUAUAUGUAUUAAAAAAAAGAAGGGAACGUUUACAGAUUAGCAUUAGCGAUGGCAAGUGUUUCCAAUCAUCACAUAAUUCAUUUUCAUAGCCUGAAGGGUAGGACUGAAUGGUAGGAAGUUAGUGGGCAAAGGAUACUAAAUUCAAAUGAGUGGUUACAAUGGGUCUCCAAUAAAUAUGUGAAAGAGAAGACGCAAUGGGUUAAGUUAGUUAUAUUAAAGGGAUAGUUCAGCCAUAUUAGAUUCAAUACGUGAGUUAAAUAGACUGCUUGGCUGACAACGUGCAUCACCGAAAGGUCAAAUAGCUGGCAACAAGGACAAUAAGCUGCCAUGUGGGGAAUCGUAGGUGGCUCGUUUCAGCCCGUUUUACACUAUAUAAACAAAAGUAUGUGGACACUCCUUCAAAUUAGUGGAUUCGGGCUAUUUCAGCCACACCUGUUGCUGACAGGAGUAUAAAAUUGAGCACACAUCCUCACAAUCUCCAUAGACAAACAUUGGCAGUAGAAUGGCCCAUACUGAAGAGCUCAGUGACUUUCAACGUGGCACCGUCAUAGGAUGCCACCUUUACAACAAUUUAGUUCAUCAAAUGUCUGCCCUGCUAGAACUGCUCCGGACAACUGUAAGUGCUCUUAUUGUGAAGUGGAAACGUCUAGGAUCGACAACGGCUCAGCUUCGAAGUGGUAGGCCACUCUAGCUCACAGAACAUCACCGCUGAGUGUUAAAGUGUGUAAAAAUCAUCUGUCCUUGGUUGCAACACUCACUACCGAGUUCCAAACUGCCUCUGGAAGCAACGUCAACACAAGAACUGUUCGUCGGGAGCUUCAUGGAAUGGGUUUCCAUGGCCGAGCAGCCGCACACAAACCUAAAAUCACCAUUCGCAAUGCCAAGCGUCGGCUAGAGUGGUGUAAAGCUCGCUGCCAUUGGACUCUGGAGCAGUGGAAACGCGUUCUCUUAUCAAUCACUCUUCACCAUCUGGCAGUCUGACAGACUAAUAUGGUUUUGGAGGAUGCCAGGAGAACGCUACCUGCCCCAAUGCAUAGUGCCAACUGUAAAGUUUGGUGGAUGAGGAAUAAUGUUCUGGGGCUGUUUUUCAUGGUUCGGGCUAGGCUCCUUGGAUCCAGUGAAGGGAAAUCUUAACACUAUAGUAUACAAUGAAAUUCUAGAUGAUUCUUUGCUUCCAACUUUGUGGCAACAAUUUGGGGAAGGCUCCGUCCUGUUUCAGCAUGACAAUGUCCCCGUGCACAAAGUGAGGUCCAUACAGAAAUGGUUUGUUGAGAACGGUGUGGAAGAACUUGACUGGCCUGCACAGAGCCCUGACCUCAACUCUAUUGAACACCUUUGGGAUGAAUUGGAAAGCCGACUGCAAGCCAGGCCUAAUUGCCCAACAUCAGUGUCCGACCUCACUAAUGCACCUGUGGCUGAAUGGAAGCAAGUCUCCACAGCCAUGUUCCAACAUCUAGUGGAAAGCCUUUCCAGAAGAGUGGAGGCUGUUAUAGCAGCAAAUGAUUUUGAAAUGAAUUUUUUUUUAUUUUUUAUUUUUUUUAUUUCACCUUUAUUUAACCAGGUAGGCUAGUUGAGAACAAGUUCUCAUUUGCAACUGCGACCUGGCCAAGAUAAAGCAUAGCAGUGUGAACAGACAACACAGAGUUACACAUGGAGUAAACAAUUAGCAAGUCAAUAACACAGUAGAAAAAAAUGGGCAGUCUAUAUACAAUGUGUGCAAAAGGCAUGAGGAGGUAGGCGAAUAAUACAAUUUUGCAGAUUAACACUGGAGUGAUAAAUGAUCAGAUGGGCAUGUACAGGUAGAGAUAUUGGUGUGCAAAAGAGCAGAAAAGUAAAUAAAUAAAAACAGUAUAAAAACAGUAUGGGAAUGAGGUAGGUGAAAAAGGGUGAGCUAUUUACCUAUAGACUAUGUACAGCUGCAGUGAUCGGUUAGCUGCUCGGAUAGCUGAUGUUUGAAGUUGGAGAGGGAGAUAAAAGUCUCCAACUUCAGCGAUUUUUGCAAUUCGUUCCAGUCACAGGCAGCAGAGUACUGGAACGAAAGGCGGCCAAAUGAGGUGUUGGCUUUAGGGAUGAUCAGUGAGAUACACCUGCUGGAGCGCGUGCUACGGAUGGGUGUUGCCAUCGUGACCAGUGAACUGAGAUAAGGCGGAGCUUUACCUAGCAUGGACUUGUAGAUGACCUGGAGCCAGUGGGUCUGGCGACGAAUAUGUAGUGAGGGCCAGCCGACUAGAGCAUACAAGUCGCAGUGGUGGGUGGUAUAAGGUGCUUUAGUGACAAAACGGAUGGCACUGUGGUAGACUGCAUCCAGUUUGCUGAGUAGAGUGUUGGAAGCCAUUUUGUAGAUGACAUCGCCGAAGUCGAGGAUCGGUAGGAUAGUCAGUUUUACUAGGGUAAGCUUGGCAGCGUGAGUGAAGGAGGCUUUGUUGCGGAAUAGAAAGCCGACUCUGGAUUUGAUUUUUGAUUGGAGAUGUUUGAUGUGAGUCUGGAAGGAGAGUUUGCAGUCUAGCCAGACACCUAGGUACUUAUAGAUGUCCACAUAUUCAAGGUUGGAACCAUCCAGGGUGGUGAUGCUAGUCGGGCAUGCGGGUGCAGGCAGCGAUCGGUUGAAAAGCAUGCAUUUGGUUUUACUCGCGUUUAAGAGCAGUUGGAGGCCACGGAAGGAGUGCUGUAUGGCAUUGAAGCUCGUUUGGAGGUUGGAUAGCACAGUGUCCAAUGACGGGCCGAAAGUAUAUAGAAUGGUGUCGUCUGCGUAGAGGUGGAUCAGGGAAUCGCCCGCAGCAAGAGCAACAUCAUUGAUAUAUACAGAGAAAAGAGUCGGCCCGAGAAUUGAACCCUGUGGCACCCCCAUAGAGACUGCCAGAGGACCGGACAGCAUGCCCUCUGAUUUGACACACUGAACUCUGUCUGCAAAGUAAUUGGUGAACCAGGCAAGGCAGUCAUCCGAAAAACCGAGGCUGUUGAGUCUGCCGAUAAGAAUUUGGUGAUUGACAGAGUCGAAAGCCUUGGCGAGGUCGAUGAAGACGGCUGCACAGUACUGUCUUUUAUCGAUGGCGGUUAUGAUAUCAUUUAGUACCUUGAGUGUGGCUGAGGUGCACCCGUGACCGGCUCGGAAACCAGAUUGCACAGCGGAGAAGGUACGGUGGGAUUCGAGAUGGUCAGUGACCUGUUUGUUGACUUGGCUUUCGAAGACCUUAGAUAGGCAGGGCAGGAUGGAUAUAGGUCUAUAG